AAGUGACGGCGGCAGCGCAGCGCCGGCACCGCGUGGUACCAGCACUGUCAGCACCGGCACUGUCAGCAUCAGUGUCACCAGCAGCCACCAGCACUGUCACCGCUGCCACCAUCACUGGGAUUGUCACCGUUGCUGCCAUCACCGCUGCCAGGUUGGUCACCAUCACUGCUGGCACCAGAGUUGUCACCAUCACCAGGGCUGCCACCAUCGCCACUGUCAUCGUCACUGGGAUUGUCACCAUCACUGCAGUCACCACUGCUCAGUUUGUCACCAUCACCUUGCAUACACAGCACGGCGGUACAGCACUGACGGGACCCCAUGGCUGCCCCCCAAGCGGCCGCAAAGCUGCUGCCCCCCCUCCUCCUGGCACUCGCAGCCCCCUCAGCCACUUUCUGGGUCCGCUCGUGGCCGCGUGUCGCCGUGGUUCCGUUCGGCGGUUCGGUGCCCAUCAACUGCAGCCGCGGUUUCUGCCCGGGUCUUGCGGUGC